GGUGAACGCUGGCGGCGUGCCUAACACAUGCAAGUCGAUCGGAGCAGCAAUGCUUAGAGGCGAACGGGUGAGGAAAACGUAGUAACCAACCCUUUAGACUGGGAUAGCCACUGGAAACGGGUGGGUAAUACCGGAUAAGCUCGAGAGAGGAAAGGCAGAGAAGCGCUAAAGGACGGAACUGCGCCCAUCAGAUAGUUGGUGAGGUAAAGGCUUACCAAGUCAAAGACGGGAAACCGACGUGAGAGCGUGUACGGUCACAAGGGCACUGAGAGACGGGCCCUACUCCUACGGGAGGCAGCAGUGGGGAAUAUUGGACAAUGGACGAAAGUCUGAUCCAGCGACGCCGCGUGGAGGAAGAAGUCCUUCGGGGUGUAAACUCAUGAAGCUAACGAAUAAGACGGAAGGGGAACCUUCCGGGAGAAGGUAAUUAGUGAAAAGCCCCGGCUAACUACGUG
rnacentral:rRNA from 1 species